rnacentral:rRNA from 1 species
UAAGACGAACCGUGCGAACGUUGUUCGGAAUCACUGGGCUUAAAGGGCGCGUAGGCGGGCUGUCCAGUCUGGGGUGAAAUCCCGCGGCUCAACCGUGGAACUGCCUCAGAUACUGACGGCCUCGAGGGAGAUAGGGGCAUGCGGAACUGUAGGUGGAGCGGUGAAAUGCGUUGAUAUCUACAGGAACUCCGGUGGCGAAGGCGGCGUGCUGGAUCUCUUCUGACGCUGAGGCGCGAAAGCUAGGGGAGCAAACG